CCCACAGGCAAUAUUUUGAUGUAAACUGUACGGCCAAAGUAAUCAAGUCCAAUGUGCCCCCUCUUAGAUUCAUAGUCCAAGCCAAGCAUUCUGCUGCAGCAGGAGAGGAAAUGCCGCGCAUAAUCAAAUGUAUGAAAACCAAUUAGAUCACAAUUCAGAAGUCCCCUCAGAAUUUCAUCACGAACUGGCAGAGUUCGGUAUAUUUCAGAUGAAGGAAAUGGACUGUGGAGGAAAAAUCCAAGCUUGAUUCUAUUGUAGCCUUUCCUCAGAAAGGUUGGCAGAAGCAUUAAGUGAUAGUCAUGAACCCAAACAUAAUCUUCCUCUGGACUGAUUAUUUCCAUGAUCUUGUCAGCAAACAUUUUGUUAGCUGAAACAUAUGCCUGCCAAAGAGUACGGUCAAAGCGAUCACCGUGGUCUGGGCACAUAGGCAGCAUGUAGUGGAAAAGAGGCCACAAUUGCUGUUUACAGAACCCAAGAUAAAACUUCUUCUGUAGGUCUAGAGGUAGAAACGUGGGAACACAGUUGAAAUCCUCAAGCAGUUUUUGGGAAACUUCUUCCUGCUCGCUAGCAUCUAUAUCAGCCUUAAGAGACCCCACAUAAAUAAAUUCAGUUUCUGGAGAAAACCCAUCUUUUAGUUGCAAAUAAAGCGAAUCUUCAUCCCAACUGAAGCAC
rnacentral:misc_RNA from 1 species